GGGUUGUGAGGUUAAGCGACUAAGCGUACACGGUGGAUGCCCUGGCAGUCAGAGGCGAUGAAGGGCGUGCUAAUCUGCGAUAAGCGCCGGUAAGGUGAUAUGAACCGUUAUAACCGGCGAUACCCGAAUGGGGAAACCCAGUGUGACUCGUCACACUAUCAUUAACUGAAUCCAUAGGUUAAUGAGGCGAACCGGGGGAACUGAAACAUCUAAGUACCCCGAGGAAAAGAAAUCAACCGAGAUUCCCCCAGUAGCGGCGAGCGAACGGGGAGGAGCCCAGAGCCUGAAUCAGCAUGUGUGUUAGUGGAAGCGUCUGGAAAGGCGCGCGAUACAGGGUGACAGCCCCGUACACAAAAGCGCAUGUGCUGUGAGCUCGAUGAGUAGGGCGGGACACGUGGUAUCCUGUCUGAAUAUGGGGGGACCAUCCUCCAAGGCUAAAUACUCCUGACUGACCGAUAGUGAACCAGUACCGUGAGGGAAAGGCGAAAAGAACCCCGGCGAGGGGAGUGAAAAAGAACCUGAAACCGUGUACGUACAAGCAGUGGGAGCCCCACCACCAAAGCAUUUGCUGUACCGCGUUGACGGAGCGAAGCGACGUCAAACCGAUAAAACAGCAGUGUAAAGUGAGCCGCAGGGCGCUUUGCGCGACAGCGCAAAGGCAGGCGGUUUCGCGUAGCGAAAGCGAAUGCUUUGGGGUGGGGUGACUGCGUACCUUUUGUAUAAUGGGUCAGCGACUUAUAUUCUGUAGCAAGGUUAACCGAAUAGGGGAGCCGGAGGGAAACCGAGUCUUAAUUGGGCGUUAAGUUGCAGGGUAUAGACCCGAAACCCGGUGAUCUAGCCAUGGGCAGGUUGAAGGUUGGGUAACACUAACUGGAGGACCGAACCGACUAAUGUUGAAAAAUUAGCGGAUGACCUGUGGCUGGGGGUGAAAGGCCAAUCAAACCGGGAGAUAGCUGGUUCUCCCCGAAAGCUAUUUAGGUAGCGCCUCGUGAAUUCAUCUCCGGGGGUAGAGCACUGUUUCGGCUAGGGGGCCAUCCCGGCUUACCAACCCGAUGCAAACUGCGAAUACCGGAGAAUGUUAUCACGGGAGACACACGGCGGGUGCUAACGUCCGUCGUGAAGAGGGAAACAACCCAGACCGCCAGCUAAGGUCCCAAAGUCAUGGUUAAGUGGGAAACGAUGUGGGAAGGCCCAGACAGCCAGGAUGUUGGCUUAGAAGCAGCCAUCAUUUAAAGAAAGCGUAAUAGCUCACUGGUCGAGUCGGCCUGCGCGGAAGAUGUAACGGGGCUAAACCAUGCACCGAAGCUGCGGCAGCGACACUGUGUGUUGUUGGGUAGGGGAGCGUUCUGUAAGCCUGUGAAGGUGUGUCGUGAGGCAUGCUGGAGGUAUCAGAAGUGCGAAUGCUGACAUAAGUAACGAUAAAGCGGGUGAAAAGCCCGCUCGCCGGAAGACCAAGGGUUCCUGUCCAACGUUAAUCGGGGCAGGGUGAGUCGACCCCUAAGGCGAGGCCGAAAGGCGUAGUCGAUGGGAAACGGGUUAAUAUUCCCGUACUUGGUGUUACUGCGAAGGGGGGACGGAGAAGGCUAUGUUGGCCGGGCGACGGUUGUCCCGGUUUAAGCGUGUAGGUGUGUGUUCCAGGUAAAUCCGGUUCACUUUAACACUGAGGCGUGACGACGAGGCACUACGGUGCUGAAGCAACAAAUGCCCUGCUUCCAGGAAAAGCCUCUAAGCAUCAGGUAACAUCAAAUCGUACCCCAAACCGACACAGGUGGUCAGGUAGAGAAUACCAAGGCGCUUGAGAGAACUCGGGUGAAGGAACUAGGCAAAAUGGUGCCGUAACUUCGGGAGAAGGCACGCUGACACGUAGGUGAAGUGAUUUACUCAUGGAGCUGAAGUCAGUCGAAGAUACCAGCUGGCUGCAACUGUUUAUUAAAAACACAGCACUGUGCAAACACGAAAGUGGACGUAUACGGUGUGACGCCUGCCCGGUGCCGGAAGGUUAAUUGAUGGGGUCAGCGCAAGCGAAGCUCCUGAUCGAAGCCCCGGUAAACGGCGGCCGUAACUAUAACGGUCCUAAGGUAGCGAAAUUCCUUGUCGGGUAAGUUCCGACCUGCACGAAUGGCGUAAUGAUGGCCAGGCUGUCUCCACCCGAGACUCAGUGAAAUUGAACUCGCUGUGAAGAUGCAGUGUACCCGCGGCAAGACGGAAAGACCCCGUGAACCUUUACUAUAGCUUGACACUGAACAUUGAGCCUUGAUGUGUAGGAUAGGUGGGAGGCUUUGAAGUGUGGACGCCAGUCUGCAUGGAGCCGACCUUGAAAUACCACCCUUUAAUGUUUGAUGUUCUAACGUGGACCCGUUACCCGGGUUGCGGACAGUGUCUGGUGGGUAGUUUGACUGGGGCGGUCUCCUCCUAAAGAGUAACGGAGGAGCACGAAGGUUGGCUAAUCCUGGUCGGACAUCAGGAGGUUAGUGCAAUGGCAUAAGCCAGCUUGACUGCGAGCGUGACGGCGCGAGCAGGUGCGAAAGCAGGUCAUAGUGAUCCGGUGGUUCUGAAUGGAAGGGCCAUCGCUCAACGGAUAAAAGGUACUCCGGGGAUAACAGGCUGAUACCGCCCAAGAGUUCAUAUCGACGGCGGUGUUUGGCACCUCGAUGUCGGCUCAUCACAUCCUGGGGCUGAAGUAGGUCCCAAGGGUAUGGCUGUUCGCCAUUUAAAGUGGUACGCGAGCUGGGUUUAGAACGUCGUGAGACAGUUCGGUCCCUAUCUGCCGUGGGCGCUGGAGAACUGAGGGGGGCUGCUCCUAGUACGAGAGGACCGGAGUGGACGCAUCACUGGUGUUCGGGUUGUCAUGCCAAUGGCACUGCCCGGUAGCUAAAUGCGGAAGAGAUAAGUGCUGAAAGCAUCUAAGCACGAAACUUGCCCCGA
rnacentral:rRNA from 2 species